UUUAACUCCAAUAAACCCAUUUUCAUCAUUUCCUUCCCAAAUUUCAAUCAGCUCCAAAAUGGCUAUCGCCGCCGCCAGAUCCGUUUUCCGGUCGUCGGCCGUCCGCAGCGCCGCCACGAGGCUAGCGUCCCAAGCGAAGUCCGCUCCCUCCCCUUCGCCGUUCCGCCUCCCCUCCAGAACUCCCCUGCUAGCUCAUCGCAUCUUCCGGUCUCCUGCUGAAUUGAGCGCGUGCGCGGAGUCGAUGCAGCCGUUCCACACCGCCACCGCCUCGGCGUUGAUGACAUCGAUGCUCACCGUCUCUCGAUUCGGUUACGGUUGGCUCGCUGAAGCUUGCAAUGAUGAUGUGUGAUGAUCUUUCGAAGCCAAAGUCUUGUUUGAGCUUGAGAAGACCCAACUGUACUGUAUUCAGACACAGGAACUAUCGAAUAUCUUUUAACGAACAUGCCUAAAUACCAUCUUCCCCUGCUUUAGUUAUUCUCGAAAUUGCAAUAAUGAUCUGUGAUCAGUACCAGAUCAACCAGCGUCGUCUCUUUCUGGUAUUAUGAUACGUAGUCGGAAGACUCUGUGUACCGAAUAUGAGCGUUCCAUGUUUAAUGCUAUGGUUCCGACGAAUUUCCAGCUGAACAUGUCUUGUUUUUGAAUAGUUUGCUGAAGCAAAUAUGAUUAAAUGGAAAAGAAGUUAAAUGGAUUUUUUUCA